AGGUGAAAAUACUAUGACCUACUACUCAGUAGAAUUUUUCCAACACUUCAAUAAAUCACUGAGCCAAAACAGUAUUUACAAAACUCUUUGUAAACCUAAGAAUUACCUCUAAUUGGCAACCAACCUCUAGCUGUUGCAACAACCCAAGUUAACUCUAACUUGAAUACAACAUCCAGAGUACCUAAUACAAUUGCUUCUAGAUAAAGCUGAAAGGUACAACUUGAAAGCCCUACUACAAUGAAACUAGAAUAAAAGACAGACACUUGGGAUUUGUUCUUCUAUCUGGUUCAUGUAGUUUCAGGUUUCCAGUGUUGAAUCACGUACGAAUUUUUUGCAAAACGCCUUACUAUUUUGCUCCCAACUCACGUUUAACUUCAGCAUUUGUGCUUCCUUGUAAAAUGAGAACAUCCUGAAAUAUAUAAAGUUAGUAGAAUAGGAAAUAAGUAGCGUUCCAAUAUUAUACUCUUCCUUGGUGAAAGAGUUCUAGUUAUCUUCAACUCCUAACUCCUCCCUUAUCUUGGAUAGAGUUCUUUUCGAGCAAGGAUUCCUUCUUCUUAUCACUUGUGCAAUGUUUUCAUUCAGGAGAUAUCACACAUAACAACUUAAGCUUAUCUCCUUCACGUACACCCCUUAUGCUCGAAUAUGCCCGUAUCUGUGUACGUUAUAUGUGGACCUGGUUCAUGCUUGAGUUCCUUUGUCAAUCAUCAAAACAAGCUUUACUUAGUCCAACAACCACCAUAUUGGCUACUACAAAGGCUCAGGGAUGCAAUCAGUGGUGAGCCACCAAACUUACUAGCAGGAUCAUGCGAGGGAAGAAGUUGGAAAAUGAGGUGUGGGUAUAAAAUUAAUGAUUGUUGAAACUGAGCCAUAAUGAAAAGCAUGGAGUAGUAUUGAGGCGGGCUAGACGGG
rnacentral:lncRNA from 1 species